GCGGGAUUUUGAGGGGCGAGUCCACUUUAUGUGGGCGGGGCUACAGCCGAGCGACUGGGGUCUGGGUGGCCCGGGGCUUUGGAGGCAGAGCGAGCGAGGGUGCCUCUGCGGGACGCGGCGGCCGCGAGCGGGUCUGCUGGCGGUCCAGGAGGGUGGCCCGCGCCCGCCGCUGCCCAGGAGGCGGGAGCAGUCCCCAUUCCGGGCCGUCGGCUCGGGAGGCCUAGUUCCCGCUGCCGGGGGCCCCGGGUGUGGAGGGCGCCGGGAGCCCCCAGCGCCCCGAGUGACCGCCCCUCUGCGAGGUUCCAGGUGUGCUGGAUGUGCCGGUCGUGCAGUCCCGCAGAGAUGACGACCCGGCGGGACGCCCCGGCGCUGGGGGGCAGGAACCGGGUGGCAUCGCCGGCCAGCUCACCCAGACCUUAAGCGCCUGUCCACCCCGCUCUCCAAAACGCCUCUGGGCCGGCCUCGCCACCUGGGGACACUCGCUCCGGGGGAGCCGUGCUUUCCAACUUGGGGGAACUCCACAGUGGCCGGCUUGCGGCCGAACCUUACCGCCCACCCGGGGCUGGGAUCCGCCCUGGCCCCCGCGGGCCGGCGCAGCACUCUCCUCCGCGGCUUCUCUCCAGGGGUUCUUGGGAGCGCGCCUUUUAUGAAAGCUGAUUCAGUCAAAACCAGAGCAUCGCUUUUUCAAGAAAUCAUGAGUUGAAAUAUGUCCACGGUAAACAAGCAAGGCUUAGAGCCAGGCUCUGUUCUGGCGGUGGAAUUUGGCCGCACUGACCGGUGAACAUGCCGAGUGAGGGUGCCGUGUUGAUUGACAUGCUGAAUAUUUAUAAUACACAUAACAUUAUCAUACUGAAUAUUCUCUUAGAAGUUAAGUAAGAUGUAAAGACAAGUUCUUAGGUCUACUCCACAAGGAGCGGAUGGACUUCCAUGCCGUUUCACAGCCUGUGUUGGAAAACACGUGGAUUUCAAUGGUUUGGUAUGAGAUGAUGUGAAAAUCGUUAAUUAAUAAGUUCAUACCGAAUGUGUUGAAGUGAUGCUAAUAAUUAACUUUAGAUACACUGGAUUGGAGUAAAAUGCCACUUGGUUAGUUAAUUUCACCUGUUUGUUUUGCUUUUCUAAAUGGGGCUUCUAGAAAAGGUUUAAUUAUAUUUCCAUUGGACCACACUGGUCAGCAAAUUACAGUAUCCAUAGAAUUCUAAUACCCUCAUUUUGUUUGUUUUUGUCAAUGAACCUUUAUUUAAUUUAUUUAUAUGUAGUGCUGAGAAUCAAGCCCAGGACCUCAUACAUGCUAGGCAAGCGCUCUACCACUGAGCCCCAGCCCAGCCCUCAUUUUGUUUCGUCACCACUAAUCAGCUACCACCUCGCCAGGGUUUU
rnacentral:lncRNA from 1 species